UACAGAGGUCCCAAGCGUUUGUUCGGAUUCACUGGGCGUAAAGGGUGCGUAGGCGGUCGGGUAAGUCUGAUGUGAAAUCUCACAGCUUAACUGUGAAACUGCAUUGGAUACUAUCCGGCUCGAGGAAUGGAGGGGAGACUGGAAUACUUGGUGUAGCAGUGAAAUGCGUAGAUAUCAAGUGGAACACCAGUGGCGAAGGCGAGUCUCUGGACAUUUCCUGACGCUGAGGCACGAAAGCCAGGGGAGCAAACGGG
rnacentral:rRNA from 1 species